GAUGAACGCUGGCGGCGUGCCUAAUACAUGCAAGUCGAGCGAACGGACGAGAAGCUUGCUUCUCUGAUGUUAGCGGCGGACGGGUGAGUAACACGUGGAUAACCUACCUAUAAGACUGGGAUAACUUCGGGAAACCGGAGCUAAUACCGGAUGAUAUUUUGAACCGCAUGGUUCAAAAGUGAAAGACGGUCUUGCUGUCACUUAUAGAUGGAUCCGCGCUGCAUUAGCUAGUUGGUAAGGUAAUGGCUUACCAAGGCAACGAUGCAUAGCCGACCUGAGAGGGUGAUCGGCCGCCCUGGAACUGAGACGCGGUCCAGACUCCUACGGGAGGCAGCAGUAGGGAAUCUUCCGCAAUGGGCGAAAGCCUGACGGAGCAACGCCGCGUGAGUGAUGAAGGUCUUCGGAUCGUAAAACUCUGUUAUUAGGGAAGAACAUAUGUGUACGUAACUGUGCACAUCUUGACGGUACCUAAUCAGAAAGCCACGGCUAACUACGUG
rnacentral:rRNA from 1 species